rnacentral:rRNA from 1 species
GGGGAAUUUUGGACAAUGGGGGCAACCCUGAUCCAGCCAUGUCGCGUGAGUGAAGAAGGCCUUCGGCUUGUAAAGCUCUUUCGGCCGGGCAGAAAUCGUGCAGGCUAAUACCCUGUAUGGAUGACGGUACCGUGAUAAGAAGCACCGGCUAACUCCGUGCCAGCCGCCGCGGUAAUACGUAGGGUGCGAGCGUUAAUCGGAAUUACUGGGCGGAAAGCGUGCGCAGGCGGUUUUGUAAGACAGGCGUGAAAUCCCCGGGCUCAACCUGGGAACUGCGCUUGUGACUGCAAGACUAGAGUACGGCAGAGGGGGGUGGAAUUCCACGUGUAGCGGUGAAAUGCGUAGAGAUUUGGAGGAACACCAGUGGCGAAGGCGACUUUCUGGUCUGCAACUGACGCUGAGGCGCGAAAGCAUGGGGAGCAAACA